AAGUAGAAUAAAUCAUUUUCUGU
rnacentral:miRNA from 1 species